rnacentral:rRNA from 1 species
UGGGGAAUAUUGGACAAUGGGCGCAAGCCUGAUCCAGCCAUACCGCGUGGGUGAAGAAGGCCUUCGGGUUGUAAAGCCCUUUUGUUGGGAAAGAAAUCCAGCCGGCUAAUACCUGGUUGGGAUGACGGUACCCAAAGAAUAAGCACCGGCUAACUUCGUGCCAGCAGCCGCGGUAAUACGAAGGGUGCAAGCGCUACUCGGAAUUACUGGGCGUAAAGCGUGCGUAGGUGGUUAUUUAAGUCCGUUGUGAAAGCCCUGGGCUCAACCUGGGAACUGCAGUGGAUACUGGAUGACUAGAAUGCGGUAGAGGGUAGCGGAAUUCCUGGUGUAGCAGUGAAAUGCGUAGAGAUCAGGAGGAACAUCCAAGGCGAAGGCAGCUACCUGGACCAACAUUGACACUGAGGCACGAAAGCGUGGGGAGCAAACA